rnacentral:lncRNA from 1 species
UGAACAAUCCUUUGUAACAAAUUGAUCCAUGUCAGUGACGCAUCAUCUACUAGAACUAAAGAGUUCAAUAUAAAAGAUAUGGCUGAGUUGCCUAAAACACAAGAAACUCUAAAACAACAAUGAGAAAUCUCUGAAAAUUUCUCAAGUAUUUGUUAUUAUACACAACAGUUAAGCAAACUUAAAACCACAUCUGUAAAUGAUUUAAUUGAAUCCCCACAGGUAAAUAAUUUCCAAGACCCUAUGUUUUCCUCUCUCCCAACCAUUCUAUAUUAGCUCAGUUUCUUCCAAAAUUACAUACAUUUGACCUUUUGUCAUAAGCUCUUCUCAUUCUCCCCAACCACAAUCUAGUAUUGAUCCCUUUUAAAAUCCGGCGACCAUCAAGAGGAAGUGUUGAGCCACCGAGAUUGCGUUAACUCAUUCGACUGGUGAGAGGAGAGAGAGCAUAUCAUUGCUUGUUGUGCACCUUAAAUCCAAAGAUUUUAGGAACGUAGCUUUGAGUCGGUUUCUGAGGCUUCAAGUUCCCAUAAGCCAUGAGAAACAAAUGUGGGAAAGUAGUCCCAAAGUAAGCUCCAUCAAUGUCUGCAAUAACCAUCAAGGAAACAAAAAAAGCUAUCAACUGCCCCAAAAGGAAGUAGCUAUUGGCUAAAGCCUAAAGCCUAGGAACUAGACCAUCUGAAACUAAUCUACGGUUGAGAUCAUUUAGUAUAAUAAAUCAACGGCUGUCGAAAAAAACAGAAUUUAAUUCCCCUGCAACCUUAAGACCUUGUUAAACGCCACGUAUCACAAACUCUCAGCGAGAUUCUCUAUACGUGUCUUCGAAAAGGUGAGAAAAACAGGAUACAAGAGCAGCUGUCAUGGGCCCGAGAGACAAAAACGUCGAUUACUGGGCCCGGAAAGGUCAUUGUGGGUCCCACGUGUAAUUAUAAAAGGGUUUUUGUCCAGUCAGCUCCUCGUUUGAUAUUCUCGAACUCUAGUGGAUGUAUUCCCCCACUCGAAGGCCUUGUUGUAUCGACGACAGAUGACAAGUUGCGUGGUCAUGAGCCACUUUCUUUUUUGGACCUUUAUUAAUAAUUGAUCACAGAACAACAUCAUUUUUCAUAUGUAUUAAUACACGUUCUUGUUGUAUAUAAUGGUUUGCCGUUCGUAAUGUGAGUCAUUGCUUACUCAGAAACGAUGAACAAUUGACGUGAUCUUCAUUUAAAUAAUUAAUAAAAAACAAGACUAGUACGUAUGAUAGUCAUAUUAGUGUUAAAUUCCAACUAGGAAAGAUUAUAUUAUGCUUUUGAAACUAAGUCGGUUCUGAUUUUUAUAUAGAAACUCCACCUAUGCGACACGUCACACACGUAUGUGUACGCAAUUAAAAAUGAUACACUAUCAAAUUUACACUGAAUAAAAUAGGCCGGUCACGCUCUUGCUCGUUCAUUGAAGCGUUCUGCAGCGUAUAUUUUAUGUCUUUGAUAUCCGAAUUAGAAGUACAUGCAUGUUCUUAGAGCAUUUAGGCUAUGUAGAUCGUAUUGAAACGUAUUUUAAUUUUGAAUGUGGCUUGUGCCAAGACUAUUCUACGAUAUUGUCAGCCAAAGGGAUUCGGAAUAAAUAUUUUGUGUGUUUAUAUGUAUAAAAAAAUAAAUUAGUACGUAGAUGAAAAGAUAUUUAAUUUCCUCCAACAGUUUCUUUGGAUUUGGUUACAUUGAUCUUAAUACGUGUACCAAGAUGUUUUGUUUCAUCACAAAACAAAAUAAAAACUAUUCACUGAUCAAUAUUAGUAUACUAUAGUAGUAAAAAGAACGUACUUGAUGAAAUAUUUGAUUAAGUACAAGCUGUACAAUAAGUAAACAAAUGAGAGGUGAUUAUAAAUUUACACACGCAUGGAAUGAAACAUUGUCCAGGGGAGAUGAAUCCUAAAAUUCAGAGCGCAGAAAGUACAAACAAGAACAGUUUAAAAAUUACAAAUCAUUAAAGUACAAAAUAUCAGUAAUAUAAAAUGUAUUAACUUAGAAACUUUCAUUAAAUGUUAAAUUUAUAUUUAGGAAAGUCCAUCAAUCAUGCGUUAUGCAUGUUAUCGUGGCCAGCGAAUCUCACAAACGCAAGACUUGUUUGAUUCCCCUCGUCGAACCAGAUCCACCCAAAUUAUUUUAAUGCAAAAUAAAAACUAAUUUAUAUGCUCUUCUUUUUAAAAAAAAUUAUAUGUUCUUCUUCAAUGCUCAAAGAUACAAAGCAAACUACUUACUCAAUUUGUUAAAAAAACAUAUUUUCACAUUAAUAUUUAUAAAUGUAUAAUUUUUAUUAGCUGUUUCAUUAUUUUAAACGAAUAGUAAUUCGAUGAAUUAGUAGUUUAAUAUUUACCAGACACAAAAAGACACUGAUAGUAAAACAAAAAAUAAAAUAAAAUAAUGAAUUAUUGAACUUUAACGAGUAGAUGGAGCAAAGGAAAGAAAGAACGGUGAAGAUGUCUUGUAGACUACAGUAACUAUAGUGGUGCGUGAAACAGGUGAUUCGCUCAAGCUAACCAUAAAGUCCCAAAGCUGUCUUUAUAUACGGACACCAAAUCAACCAGCUUCCUCCUCCUCCUUCCUCUUUCUCCUAUCUGAGCUGAAUCUUGAAUUUGAUUCUGCAGUCCACUCUCUUCCUUUUAUUCCAAAGCUUUCGUUCUUUUUUUAUAGUAUAAGCAAUGGCUUCGUAUUACUCUGCGUUUUUCGGCAGUGAAGAGCCACACUUUCUGGAAUCAUGCUCUCUUUGCAGUAAACACCUUGGUCCUAACUCCGACAUCUUCAUGUACAGGUACUUAAUCCGUUCAUACCUAAUAAACUUCCUGGAUCUGGGUUUUGAAAAGUCAUUUCUUUUAUUGAUAUUCAGAUCUUUUCUUGUUUUUUUUUUUAAACAGAGGAGACACGGCGUUUUGUAGCAAUGAGUGUAGAGAAGAACAGAUUGAAUCUGAUGAAGCCAAGGAGAGACGCUGGAAACUUUCUGCUAGAUCUCUCCGUAAAAAAUCUUCUGAAGCUGCAAAGGAUUCAGCCGCCGGAAAAAACGUACGGACAGGAACACUCGUGGUCGCGUAGUGGAAUUUGUAUUACAAUAAGAAAACCAAAGCAUGUAGCUUUUGUGUAUACCCUUUUUGUCUAAAAGCUAUAUAUAUAUAUAUUAAAUAUUACUCUCUUUUAAGAAAUUUUGCUCUGUUUCUAUCUAUCUUGCUCUUGAUCGGGGUCAGAGAAGUUGUAAGAUCCUGUUAUGUGGAGUUUAGGGGAAGGAGAUAGAGAGAUGGCUCUGUGUUGAUCUCUGGGGGGUUUAAAUUUUGAUCAAAUGUUACAAUUAAAAAAAAACAGAGCAGAGCAUAAUCUAUUUAUGUUCUAAAUUCAAUUUCUUAUCUUCCUCAUCUUUCCAAUUUUAUUCAAACUUCUGCUGUUAAGAUGAGAGUUUUUAAUUGCAUCUGCAGUCAGUUACAACUUUUUUACGAUCAUGGUAACUACACAAAGUUCUGAUUGUUCAUUGCGUUGUGCAUUUCUCCGGCGGAGAAAUAACUACAUUUGGGCCCAUAAUAGGCUUUAAAGGAGCCCAUAUAUGCCAACCCAUUGACGCUUCCUUUUUGUGGAAAUAAGGUCAUACAUAAUCAGAACUAGCCUGGCAUUCGGUUCUAAAGGGGUUUCGGUGGUCCGUUCUAGUAUUUAAAAUUUUGGUUUGAUUCGUUUAUUUUAGUUUUAUAUUCCGUUCAAGUACUAAAGUUGGAAACGGCUAAUAUCCAAGGUAAUUUCGAAUUCUAUUGGGUUCCGUUUUUUGGUUAAUUUUUGGGGUUUCAGAUAAAAAUUUGGAUAAUUCAGAUAAUUAUAAUUAUUUGGAUAAAACAUAUUUUGGGCAAUUCUUGUUUUUCUCGAUUCUGUUCUUUAGUCCGAAUAAGAGAUCAAUGUGUCCAUGCCUAAUCAGAAGUCAGAACUAACGGAUCAUCAGGUAUUCAUAUUUGUAAGAUAGGCCGAGUUAUAGUACCUGGUCAUUUAGAGCCCCAAGACUCUCAGCACAUAGGCUUCUGGUUCCUAGCUUCGCCUUUGCUCUUUAACUUAAAAAAUGUGUGGAGAUAUGCUUUUGUUGAGUGUUCCAUGUUUCGAGUAUAGAUUUAAAGAAUCAAACCUAUUGCAAUGCUAAGAAAAUCGUAGCUAAUAAUAUCUAAGCCUGGGCAAAGAAAAUUUGUUGAAUUUUGGUUUUUUAUUCCCCUGCGUCAACAACUUGGCAGUAUACUACAAGACUACACGAUUCAUGAUGUACACUUAGGAGACUAUGUGAACAAUCCUUUGUAACAAAUUGAUCCAUGUCAGUGACGCAUCAUCUACUAGAACUAAAGAGUUCAAUAUAAAAGAUAUGGCUGAGUUGCCUAAAACACAAGAAACUCUAAAACAACAAUGAGAAAUCUCUGAAAAUUUCUCAAGUAUUUGUUAUUAUACACAACAGUUAAGCAAACUUAAAACCACAUCUGUAAAUGAUUUAAUUGAAUCCCCACAGGUAAAUAAUUUCCAAGACCCUAUGUUUUCCUCUCUCCCAACCAUUCUAUAUUAGCUCAGUUUCUUCCAAAAUUACAUACAUUUGACCUUUUGUCAUAAGCUCUUCUCAUUCUCCCCAACCACAAUCUAGUAUUGAUCCCUUUUAAAAUCCGGCGACCAUCAAGAGGAAGUGUUGAGCCAC